rnacentral:rRNA from 1 species
GCAUAUCAAUAAGCGGAGGAAAAGAAACCAACAGGGAUUGCCUCAGUAACGGCGAGUGAAGCGGCAACAGCUCAAAUUUGAAAUCUGGCCCCCCUCGGGGUCCGAGUUGUAAUUUGGAGAGGAUGCUUCGGGUGUGGCCCCGGUCUAAGUUCCUUGGAACAGGACGUCACAGAGGGUGAGAAUCCCGUACGUGCCCGGUGGCCGCCCCCGUGUGAAGCUCCUUCGACGAGUCGAGUUGUUUGGGAAUGCAGCUCAAAAUGGGUGGUAAAUUUCAUCUAAAGCUAAAUAUUGGCCAGAGACCGAUAGCGCACAAGUAGAGUGAUCGAAAGAUGAAAAGCACUUUGGAAAGAGAGUUAAACAGUACGUGAAAUUGUUGAAAGGGAAGCGCUGGCAACCAGACUUGCGCGGGGUCGAUCAUCCGGUGUUCGCACCGGUGCACUCGGCCCCGCGCAGGCCAGCAUCGGUCUGGGCGGCUGGAUAAAGGCCUUGGGAAUGUGGCUCUCUUCGGGGAGUGUUAUAGCCCAAGGUGCAAUGCAGCCCGCCUGGACCGAGGACCGCGCUCCGGCUAGGAUGCUGGCGUAAUGGUUGUCAGCGACCCGUCUUGAAACACGGACCAAGGAGUCUAACAUCUAUGCGAGUGUUUGGGUGUCAAACCCAUACGCGUAAUGAAAGUGAACGGAGGUGAGAACCCUUAAGGGUGCAUCAUCGACCGAUCCUGAUGUCUUCGGAUGGAUUUGAGUAAGAGCAUAGCUGUUGGGACCCGAAAGAUGGUGAACUAUGCCUGAAUAGGGUGAAGCCAGAGGAAACUCUGGUGGAGGCUCGCAGCGGUUUCUGACGUGCAAAUCGAUCGUCAAAUUUGGGCAUAGGGGGCGAAAGACUAAUCGAACCAUCUAGUAGCUGGUUUCCUGCCGA